rnacentral:rRNA from 1 species
GCGUGGGAGAAGGGUUGCUCGUAAUCUUGGGAGAGACGUCCAGAAUAGCACCGGUAACUCUGCCACGCCCGUACAGGUGCAGCUUACCGGAUUUACUGGGUUUAGCGUAGGUUUAAGUCGGUGAAAGCUCUUCUACAAGAAUGCACUGUUCUGAGAUAGAGGUGCGGAAUAGAUGUACGGUAAAUGCAUAAUAUCUUAAACACCGUGCAAGGGCUGCCGUGGGGAUCAAACAGGAUUAGAUACCCUGGUAGUCCACGCCCUAACGAUGUACUUGUGUUUGCAAGAAAGCGAUAAGACACCUGGGGUCGCCCGCAAGGGAAAAAGGAUGACGGGCGCAAGCGGUGGAUGGGUUAAUUCAUCAGAACUCGUUGAAAGGAGGUGAUGC